UACGAAGGGGGCUAGCGUUGUUCGGAAUCACUGGGCGUAAAGGGCGCGUAGGCGGACGUUUAAGUCGGGGGUGAAAUCCCGGGGCUCAACCCCGGAACGGCCUUCGAUACUGGGCGUCUCGAGACCGGGAGAGGUGAGUGGAACUGCGAGUGUAGAGGUGAAAUUCGUAGAUAUUCGCAAGAACACCAGUGGCGAAGGCGGCUCACUGGCCCGGUUCUGACGCUGAGGCGCGAAAGCGUGGGGAGCAAACAGG
rnacentral:rRNA from 1 species